rnacentral:rRNA from 1 species
GACGAACGCUGGCGGCGUGCUUAACACAUGCAAGUCGAACGGAAAGGCCCUGCUUUUGUGGGGUGCUCGAGUGGCGAACGGGUGAGUAACACGUGAGUAACCUGCCCUUGACUUUGGGAUAACUUCAGGAAACUGGGGCUAAUACCGGAUAGGAGCUCCUGCUGCAUGGUGGGGGUUGGAAAGUUUCGGCGGUUGGGGAUGGACUCGCGGCUUAUCAGCUUGUUGGUGGGGUAGUGGCUUACCAAGGCUUUGACGGGUAGCCGGCCUGAGAGGUGACCGGCCACAUUGGGACUGAGAUGCGGCCCAGACUCCUACGGGAGGCAGCAGUGGGGAAUAUUGCACAAUGGGCGGAAGCCUGAUGCAGCAACGCCGCGUGCGGGAUGACGGCCUUCGGGUUGGAAACCGCUUUCGCCUGUGACGAAGCGUGAGUGACGGUAAUGGGUAAAGAAGCACCGGCUAACUACGUG